rnacentral:guide_RNA from 1 species
AUGUUAUAAUAAACACAUAGAACUGGAUAGACAGAAUAACUAAUAUGUGAUA